rnacentral:lncRNA from 1 species
CCAAGAUUCUUUGGUUCCUUCAAUAAACUAAGGCACUUGAAACUUUCAUACUCAAACUUCACUGGUGAAGUUCCUUGUGAACUUGGGAACCUUACAAACCUACAUACUCUUGACCUUUGUGGUAACGAUAUAAGAAUCAAGAACCUUGAUUGGCUUUCUCAUCUUUCUUUGCUGUCAUAUCUUGACUUGAGUAAUAAUGAUUUUGGAAGAAGUGAAAUUCCAAGAUUCUUUGGUUCCUUCAAUAAACUAAGGCACUUGAAACUUUCAUACUCAAACUUCACUGGUGAAGUUCCUUGUGAACUUGGGAACCUUACAAACCUACAUACUCUUGACCUUUGUGGUAACGAUAUAAGAAUCAAGAACCUUGAGUGGCUUUCUCAUCUUUCUUUGCUGUCAUAUCUUGGAUUGAAUGGUGUGAACCUUAUGAAUCAAACCAGCUGGUUGCACAGC